GAACGCACCUUGCACCCUUUGGACUGCUCCAAAGGGUAUGCUCGUUUGAGUGUCAUUGUACUCUCACACUCUCUGAUCCUUUGGAUUUGGGGAGCGGUGGACUUGGGUGCUUGCUGCUUUCUUGUGGCUCACCUGAAAUGCAUCAGUGCAUCUCUUGAUUGGACAUAGUACGGCGUGAUAAGUGUCUUCGCCGGCACCUCAUAAGAGGGUGGCCGAUCGGGAGCUCUGUGCUUUCAAACUGUCUUCGGACAACCCUGACAACUUGACCUCAAAUCGAGUAGGACUACCCGCUGAACUUAAG
rnacentral:misc_RNA from 1 species